GGCUGGUCCGAAGGUAGUGAGUUAUCUCACUAGAUUGUUCACAGUUACAGAUGGAACUCCUUGUUCUACUCUUCCCCUCUUCUCACUACUGCACUUGACUAGUCUUAA
rnacentral:Y_RNA from 1 species